UGAGUAACGCGUGGGUAACCUGCCCUAUACACACGGAUAACAUACCGAAAGGUAUGCUAAUACGAGAUGACAUAAGAGAUUCGCAUGGAUUUCUUAUCAAAGCUUUUGCGGUAUAGGAUGGACCCGCGUCUGAUUAGCUAGUUGGUAAGGUAACGGCUUACCAAGGCGACGAUCAGUAGCCGACCUGAGAGGGUGAUCGGCCACAUUGGAACUGAGACACGGUCCAAACUCCUACGGGAGGCAGCAGUGGGGAAUAUUGCACAAUGGGCGAAAGCCUGAUGCAGCAACGCCGCGUGAGCGAUGAAGGCCUUCGGGUCGUAAAGCUCUGUCCUCAAGGAAGAUAAUGACGGUACUUGAGGAGGAAGCCCCGGCUAACUACGUGCCAGCAGCCGCGGUAAUACGUA
rnacentral:rRNA from 1 species